CAGUAUAAAACUGCCCAUCCGCUCUCGCUAUUUCUCAUUUCUCUGCGUACCGGCAACGAGUGUUGACACUCGCUCUCUUCUGGCCGUGUUUUGCCGGAAGUAAUCGAUACCCAGGAGGGCCUGUCCCGGCAUCCCCGUCCAGCGUUGGAAAACUAACCCCUUAACAACCAUGCAGUUUUCCAACCACGGCAUCAUGCUGUACAGAACCGACCCAAUUUGUUGUCAAAAACGGAUGCGUUAGCGUCCCGUUUCUGGCAACAAAUUUAAUAGAAAUUACAGUGGUUGGUAUCUUUACGAAGCUGGACGCGUUCACCAUACCAUGGAGGAUUCGCCUGGUCGGAGUAAUGGAGCUCUAAACUGUUCCCCGGCUGUUCCGGGGCUGCGUGGUUUCCUGCAAUCUGUACCGGUUUGAGGGAGAUCGAGCCGCCCCGGGAGCCAACUUAGCUUUAAGGCGCUUGGACGGACAAAAACAAUGACGGACGAGGACAAUAAACGAGACAUAAAUGUGGACAUUUUAAACUGUGUGUGUGACAAACACGAAAAAUAAUGACUUAAUAAAACUGUGGAAAUGAA